rnacentral:misc_RNA from 1 species
UCCCGAUUGGCUCGGGCAGUCUUGUUUGAAAAAUACAACAAACAACAAGGGUUGCGCUCGUUGCGGGACUUAACCCAACAUCUCACGACACGAGCUGACGACGGCCAUGCAACACCUGUCAUAGCGGCCCGAAGGCACUCCCCCGUUUCUGGGGGAUUAGCUAUGAUGUCAAACCUUGGUAAGGUUCUUCGCGUAGCAUCGAAUUAAACCACAUGCUCCACUGCUUGUGCGGGUCCCCGUCAAUUCCUUUGAGUUUUAGCCUUGCGGCCGUACUCCCCAGGCGGGAUGCUUAACGCGUUAGCUUCGCAACGCAGAGGGUCGAUACUCCACACUACUAGCAUCCAUCGUUUACGGCGUGGACUAC